AAUGAGCUUGACACCUUGAUAAGCUCAUUUCCUGACGAUGGCUCACCGCUCUUCGUACUUGGCGACUUCAAUCCCAGGACUUCUGCCUUGGAUUCAUUUCUUUCUAACUCUCUCUUUCCCCUCCUUGCCUCUUUUGGUUGCACCCUUUCCCAAUCCCCUCCAACUCACAAGCAAAGCAAUAUGUUUGACCUCACUAGAGGCUGUUUGCCUACUAAACUCACUGCAACCCCCUCCAGGUCUCUACUUUGUUUCCUUGUCUGUCUCCCUUUCCUCCAACGCGGGCAGCUGAGUGAAAAUGGAGGAAAACUAAACUUCCAAAGGACCUAUUAUUCAUUCACUCCCUCAUCUCUACCUUCUCUUCCUCUGCAUCCACUGCAAAGCCACUUUCUAUCACUCCAAAGCUUCUGCCUCUAAUGCUAGGAAACUCUUUUCCACCCUCUCCUCCCUCCUUUAUCCUCCACCCCUCCCUGCAAACAACUUUGUCAACCACUUUGAAAAGAAGGUUGACAACAUCCGCUCCUCAGUCACUCAGCCUAUUGAGUUCACUGGUCCCACACACACAUAAUUACCAUAUGCCUUGUCCUCUUUCUCCCCUCUUUCUCCAGAUAAAAUCCUGUGACUAGUGAGGUCUGGCCGCCCUACAACAUGCCCGCUCGACCCCAUCCCCUCCUCUUUUCUCCAGUCCAUUCCUCACUUGCCUCAUCAACUCAUCCCUGACCACUGGAUGCGUCCCCUCUGACUUCAAAAUGGCUCGAGUUUCACCCUCCUCAAGAAACCAACACUCGAUUCAUCUGAUGUCAAAAACUAUGGACCAAGAUUCACAAAACCUUCUUAAGAAGAAAUGUCUUCUUAACUGCCAUUUUUUUGUUAACUAUAGACUUAAGAAGAAAGUUAAGGAAAGUUGCUAUUCCUGAAAAUGGUUAUUGGAAAUGUUCUUGCGUCUUCACGCCUGUCCAAAUCAAACUGAUGAGAGGCCUCAUUGUGACUAUACUCGGCACAUCCCCCAUCUUGCUAUUGUCACCAUCUUACAUUCAGACAGUCAGUAAGUAGUAAUUCAUUACCCAAUCAAAGCUCUGUGUUGUGGCAGACGUAUGCUCUAACAAUGUGCUAGUGCUUAUGACUCAGCUGUACAUUCACUUGACAAAUAAAUGUGUUCAACAAAGACUA